ACAUGCAAGUCGAGCGGACAGAAGGGAGCUUGCUCCCGGAUGUUAGCGGCGGACGGGUGAGUAACACGUGGGUAACCUGCCUGUAAGACUGGGAUAACUCCGGGAAACCGGAGCUAAUACCGGAUAGUUCCUUGAACCGCAUGGUUCAAGGAUGAAAGACGGUUUCGGCUGUCACUUACAGAUGGACCCGCGGCGCAUUAGCUAGUUGGUGAGGUAACGGCUCACCAAGGCGACGAUGCGUAGCCGACCUGAGAGGGUGAUCGGCCACACUGGGACUGAGACACGGCCCAGACUCCUACGGGAGGCAGCAGUAGGGAAUCUUCCGCAAUGGACGAAAGUCUGACGGAGCAACGCCGCGUGAGUGAUGAAGGUUUUCGGAUCGUAAAGCUCUGUUGUUAGGGAAGAACAAGUGCAAGAGUAACUGCUUGCACCUUGACGGUACCUAACCAGAAAGCCACGGCUAACUACGUGCCAGCAGCCGCGGUAAUACGUAGGUGGCAAGCGUUGUCCGGAAUUAUUGGGCGUAAAGGGCUCGCAGGCGGUUUCUUAAGUCUGAUGUGAAAGCCCCCGGCUCAACCGGGGAGGGUCAUUGGAAACUGGGAAACUUGAGUGCAGAAGAGGAGAGUGGAAUUCCACGUGUAGCGGUGAAAUGCGUAGAGAUGUGGAGGAACACCAGUGGCGAAGGCGACUCUCUGGUCUGUAACUGACGCUGAGGAGCGAAAGCGUGGGGAGCGAACAGGAUUAGAUACCCUGGUAGUCCACGCCGUAAACGAUGAGUGCUAAGUGUUA
rnacentral:rRNA from 1 species